CUAUUCUAUUAUAGUGGCAUUCUCACUGUAUUCUUUUGUGGGAUUGUGAUGUCAAUAUGGAUGCCUUGGACAUUGAAAAGUGGAAAAUUUUAAGUGAUAGAUGGUGCUUCUUUUAGUUUUAUCUUUGAUUGAACUCAUGUUUAGCAUAUGGUGCUCGAUCUUGUAUGUGAAGUCCUGGAACAUAGGUUGCAGUAAAUUCAAUACUACUAAGUCUUGUUACGCUUGGAAGAGCAGCUUUUGUUUUUCCCUUAUCCUUCUUGUCAAACUUAUCCAAGAAAAAUCAAAGCGAGAAAAUUAGCCUCCAGCAGCAAGUGGUAAUAUGGUGGCUGGUCUUAUGAGAGAUGUUGUGUCUAUUGCGCUUGCUUAUAAUCAGGCAAGUUGUGGAAAAUGUUCCUUUUUAGGUUGUUGUAGGUUUAAAUCUACCCAAGUAGGGAAAAGGGAAAAAAUUGGCAUUCCAUGAAAAGGCUACUAAAUCAGAACAAAUAUAAUCUUGCAAAAUACUGUAUGAGGUCUAUGGUUUUGCUAGCUCAUAUUUCUUGCUUACCGAUUUGAGUUUUCAUAUCUUAAGGUAGAUUUAUGUUUAAUUUGGUGUGUUUUGGUAGACCUAUAUGAUAGACAG